GAAAUGCGAUAAGUAAUGUGAAUUGCAGAAUUCAGUGAAUCAUCGAAUCUUUGAACGCACAUUGCGCCCUCUGGUAUUCCGGGGGGCAUGUCCGUCCGAGCGUCAUUAUACCCUCAAGCCGUGGCUUGGUGUUGGGCCUCUCGCCAGUCUUGGCGGGCCUUAAACGUAGCGAUCGGUGUUCCUGGAGCCUCAAGCGAAGUAGUUUAUCACGCGCUUUGGAGGCGCCAGGGGCGCCCGACCAUCUAUCACACCGUCUGGUUGACCUCGGAUCGGGCAGGGAUACCCGCUGAACUUAA
rnacentral:misc_RNA from 1 species